GGCCGCUUAUAAGUGUAAUUGUGUUACAGCAAAAAGUGUUCAUCUGCCAAAAACUGAUUUCAGUCAAAUAAAAAAGUAUUGCAGCAGGGCUCAAUUUUGGAUGGACCUGUUUGGAGACCUGAGAGACUCUGGACACUUUAACGACUUAUUGAGAUUCUGCUUCAGUAAUGUUCUGCAAAAAGACCUGGAUGAGAGCACAGACCUCUGGAAUAAGCACAGGAUUACACUCUCCAGACAUCCAUCAUGUCCUGGGGGAACUACAGACGAACUCUAUCUCUUACCUCUCAUAUCAACUGACAAUGACUUGACUAUAUCCAUUCUCACAAAAAUAUGUAAUGUGUAUUAAAGCAUAAAUUGCACCACACAUAUUAUUGGAAAUACAUUUGGAUUUGAAGUCAUGUUUUCCCUUUAUGGUAAAUUAUUGUGUCACUAUGCAGGUUUGGUUCUAAGGACUGGAUAUGUUUCCAGAGUCAAGGCAAACUCUUCAUUCAUGCAGUGAUCCAGACAUCCAGGAUUAUCUUCAACAGACUGUUGAGCGAAAUGGAUUACAGCAGCCACAUAAUUGGGAGUCAGCCUCAGAACUUUAUGUCACCUUGAAAGAAAUAGCUGGCCUAUAAAUAUGGUCUACUGCAGCCCACUCUUAAAGGCCAGAUGUUAAAGGAAAACAUUCUCAAAUGUGGCUUAGCUGUUUGAGUAUCAUGUUUGGCAAGUGGAGUUCAGUAUAUGCAGUGUCAUAUCAGAGUGGAGACAUACAUUAAACUCAAAUGUAACUCUCAAACUAUAUUUGUUUAUUUUCGGAUUCACCAUCGAGUUAACUGUGUGUCAAUUGUAGGUCUGAACAACCAAAGAAACGUGGUUCUUUUCAAGAGGUAUUGUUAACAAGCUUGUUUGCAAGCACAACAUGUUAUACACUGUUUCAAAUGUGAAACUACAUACAUUUUAGCUGAGUACAAUUUUACUGUUACUUGUAAUGUGACCUGUACUUAAAAAAAUGUCUGUGAUUUUUCAUUGAACAAAGUAAUGAACAGAAAUAAUACACAUUAAAAUACUUUGAACUGAG